GCCCCUCGCGCCCGGAGGGGGCGGGGCCGCGGGCACCUUCUUCCUGCGCCCACCCCGCCCUCAGGAAUGCUGCAUGGCCUCCCCAUAGCGGCGGUGGGAGCCUCGGCCGGGGAGAGCCCGCUCGGGGGCAGGAAGUGGCCCGGCCCUCCUCGUGGAGGGCGUUUCCGGAGCGCCUACUGUGCUCCUUGCCGGGGUGGGGGUCGUUACCGAGUGGGAACUUCUGCAAAUCCUGACUUUUGUCACUUCGCGCCCCGCACAAGAUGUCCUGCCGGCGGUGCGAUUGGUCCCGUUGCUUCGAGGGGAAACUGAGGCCAGUUAGUCCGGGCACUUACCCGCAGCUAGUUAAGGACUAGGCUCUGAUGGGGACGCUUGUUACGACCUCAAUGGCCUGUAGAAUCUGGGAGGCCGCCUCCGACCUAAGCCCGAAAAGCACAUGAUCGGGCUCACAGGGGGCGGCCAAAGGUGAAAACAGCCAACGCUUUACAACGACGCUGUGCGGGGCACUUCGUGUGUGUCAUCCCGUCUCAUCCUCGGGUGAUGGGACAGGGAAACUAAGGCCCAGAGUGUGGGUCAGAAACAAUUUUUUUGGCCGAGGAAGUGGUGCUCCCCCCACGGCCCUGUGAAAGAAAAAGCCACGUCUGGGUUGCCUUAGAACUGUUCAUUCGGGAAAAUUGCAAACAACUAAAUACCCCUCACCAGGAGCUGGCCCAUUAUAGCAACUCUGAGACCUCUCUACCGCAGGCUCUUAAAAUGGGGGAAGAAACAGAAGUUCUUGGCCAUGGUGUGACAGUGACACCGAGAGAAGCCCGAUUCACUCCCAGGUUUCUGCUCACAGGUCACCUGGCCAGGGAUGCCCUCCCUGACCACCCUGAAUGCAACAGCAACACCGACCCUGCCUGUGCAGCGGACACUAUACUGCUCUUACCCUUCCUGGUUAUUUGUUACUGCUCACCUGGUUACUGCUUACCACAUUUGGUUAUUUGGUAUCCCUUCCCAUGAGGGGAGGGAUUUUGUUUUGUUCACUGCGACAUCCCCAGAAGCUACAACAGUACCUGGCAUAAGUGAUUCUGUCCAAGGUAAGUACUCCAGAGAAGUUCUCCCACCGCAUGGCAGAGAGACAUGCACCAGAGUGUUGAUGAAACGCUGAAAACACCAAAAUGGCCCCGGUGCAGUGGCUCACGCCUAUAAUCCCAGCACUUUGGGAGGCCCAGGCAGGCAGAUCACCUGAGGUCGGGAGUUCAAGACCAGCCUGACCAACAUGGAGAAACCUCGUCUCUACUAAAAAUACAAAAAAUCAGCUGGGCGUGGUGGCACAUGCCUGUAAUCCCAGCUACUUGGGAGGCUGAGGCAGGAGAAUUGCUUGAACCCGGGAGGUGGAGGUUGCGGUGAGCCGAGAUUGCACCAUUGCACUCCAGACUAGGUAACAAGAGAGAAACUCCAUCUCACAAAAAAAAAAAAAAAAAAAAAGAACCCUGAAACAUCAUUAGGAAAAUGGUCAAAGGGAAUGUAGUAUAUGUGUAUGAAUUUAACAGAAAUGAACUAGAUCUCUAUGUAUCAAAGUAGACAGAGUGUUCAAGACAUAGUGUUCAAUAUAAAAUUGUUCUUUUUACUGCAGCUUAACAGUGGAUGUAACUGCUUCUUUGCUGUGGCAGAUUGUAUUUUCUAAAGGCCCCAACAGUCUCUCCUGUCCCUCCUCCUCUUCUAAAACCUUGAUACUUCCCUAUGAAGAGGUAGGGUCUAAUACUCCCCUCCUUCAACCUGAAGCCCUGCCUUGGGCUUGUGACUUGCUUGUAACCAAUCAAAUACAGUGGAAGAGUUACUACGUGACUUCCAGGGCUAGGUCAGAAAAGGAUGCAGCCUCAGGGUUCAACACACACUUGGGCCUGGAGCCACCAUGCAAGAAGGCUGCCAUGCUGCGAGGGAGCAAAGGCACGUGGAGGGACAUACACAGGGGCUGUGGCUGGCAGUCCUGGCCUUUGAGUCAUCCUUGUUUAAGUGCCAGGCACACACGUUAACUACCUUUAGGUAAUUCCAUACCUCAGAUGUCAUGUCACCCCAAGCCCUUGAGUCUUCCCAUCUGAAGCCCCAGGCUUUAUGGAGAAGAAACAAGAUGUUCCUGCCACGCUCUUUCUGAACUGCUGACAUACAGAAUCUAUGACCAUAAUAAAAUGGUUGUUUUGUGCCAU